rnacentral:rRNA from 1 species
GUGGGGAAUUUUGGACAAUGGGCGCAAGCCUGAUCCAGCCAUGCCGCGUGCAGGAUGAAGGCCUUCGGGUUGUAAACUGCUUUUGUACGGAACGAAAAGGUGCCUUCUAAUAAAGGGCGCUCAUGACGGUACCGUAAGAAUAAGCACCGGCUAACUACGUGCCAGCAGCCGCGGUAAUACGUAGGGUGCGAGCGUUAAUCGGAAUUACUGGGCGUAAAGCGUGCGUCGGUGGUUGUUUAAGUCUGACGUGAAAGCCCCGGGCUCAACCUGGGAACGGCCUUUGUGACUGCAAGGCUGGAGUGCGGCAGAGGGGGAUGGAAUUCCGCGUGUAGCAGUGAAAUGCGUAGAUAUGCGGAGGAACACCGAUGGCGAAGGCAAUCCCCUGGGCCUGCACUGACGCUCAUGCACGAAAGCGUGGGGAGCAAACA